UACGUAGGGUGCGAGCGUUAAUCGGAAUUACUGGGCGUAAAGCGUGCGCAGGCGGUUUUGUAAGCCAGGUGUGAAAUCCCCGGGCUCAACCUGGGAAUGGCAUUUGGGACUGCAAGGCUGGAGUGCGGCAGAGGAGACUGGAAUUCCUGGUGUAGCGGUGAAAUGCGCAGAUAUCAGGAAGAACACCCGUGGCUAAGGCGGCUCUCUAGUACGGUACGGACGCUGAGACGCGAAAGCGUGGGGAGCGAACAGG
rnacentral:rRNA from 1 species